rnacentral:rRNA from 1 species
UACGGUGGGCGCAAGCGUUGUUCGGAAUUACUGGGCGUAAAGCGCGUGUAGGCGGCCAGGUAAGUCGGAUGCGAAAGCGCGGGGCCCAACACCGGAACUGCACCCGAUACUGCCUGGCUGGAGUCCCGGAGAGGAUGGCGGAAUUUCCGGUGUAGAGGUGAAAUUCGUAGAUAUCGGAAGGAACAACAGUGGCGAAGGCGGCCAUCUGGACGGUGACUGACGCUGAGACGAGAAAGCGUGGGGAGCAAACAGG